AUGUCCUGGUGCAGCAGCUACAACAGGCUGGAGGCUGAAACAGCUCGGCGCGGGCCGCCGCUGUCGCUGCCCGGGCCGCUGCUGGUAGCUGGCUCUCCCUGGGAGCGCGGCCCUCGGUUCCCGGUUUCCUGGCCCAGUCCGCCGCCGCGGCGCGUCUUUCCCCGGCUCCGGCGGCUCGGUCACUGCUCCUGGCUGUUGGCUGAGCUCUGGAAGCCCCCUCGCCUUAAUGCAGCGCCCGCCGACGUCACCGCGGCCCGCGACCAAUCAGCUGCUCGCGGUCCCUCUGUAAACCAUUCUGCAUCUCCCGGCCCGGGAGAGUGCCGGGAGACCGCGUUUGGAGGAUCAGUAGCCGCGGCACCCGCGGUCCGGCGCGGCGCCGACAGAGAGGUUCCCAGGGCCCCAAUUGCUUCGCCUCUGCCUGCACUGCUCUGGAACUCCGAGACUCUCCGGCAACCCCCGUCGUGCCCCCCGCGUCACAUUUUCAUUUGGAACCGAAGCCGAAGGCGGCCCUGCUCUUCGUUGGCGCUUGGCACCACCUUGACCUCUGCCCUCACAGCGCACCCUGCAUUUAAACCCAAGUGGACUCAGCGAAGGACAGCAGCCUUCCCUUCUCGCCCUCGCCGCCAAGUUUACGGUCUCCCAAAGGAGGUACACAAGCGCUUUCCUACCCAACGUCUCCAAGUGGCACAGACCAACAACCACGUACAAGGCCUCAGGACUAUCGCAUAUUGGACCGGGUGCUGUGGGAGGAACUUGGCGGCUGUGCUGUCGCUCAGUGGCCGCAAAAUCCUUUUCACCCACUGCCAGGCUCUCCUGGUAAAGGCCCCAGAGGACUCCGGAAGCGGUUUUCACUCUCCAGGUUUCUCUUCUGAGAAGCGCCACGAGGGGAGGGACCCAGCUCAGGAACUGGAGAUACCGGGGCUUCUGCCAGUCCACCUCAAACUCCCUGUAGCUUGGGGGGCCAGAAGGCACUCCCUCCUGCACCCCUUUCCUCCCUCCGCCUUCCUGGUCCCGAACUCCACCUCCCCUCGCUCCCCGAAGUUCCCGCGAGUGGCUCGAGGGCCCCGAGGAUUGGAGGCGUCUGGGUCACCGGCGCUCGGGCAGUUUCCCCUCCCUCCCCGCCGCCCCGGAACAGAGAAGCUGUGGCGUCUCCCGCCUGCCCUCCGCGGACCCCAGGGGAGGGCGGUGAGCCGCAGACGGAGGCGCCCGGGACAGAGAGCGCUCUCGGCGGUUACCCCGCGCCUGGCUGCCGGAAUGGGGCGUGAGCCGGUCGCACCCCUGGCCCAGUCGGUUCGGGAGGAUGCGGCAGAUGCGACAUAUGCGACAGAAGGGAACUGUUCCGCCGGGUCCCAGGAUCUCGCCGCGCCCUCUCCCGCCCUUCCCAUCCCUUCUCCAGUUCUCACCAGGAGACAGCCCACAGUGCCAGGCUCCGGAGACCCAAUUUCCCGACUUGAACAUCCUGAAGAUACCAUGCUUUCUGGUGCUGCCCCCCCACGCAGGUUGGCUGCUAUCUCUGCUGGCUUCUCUAGCAGCUGGAAGUGGUGGGGAGGGUCUGGAGACUGUCUGAAAAGACAGUUCUGGUGACUGUUUUGUUGCUGGUGGCGGGAGAUUUGGCAUUGGGCGGGGGGCAGUGUCACCAUUCCAACUGGACUUGGCCGCCUUUACCUCCCAGAACUGAGGCAUCUCAGUAAGAGAAAAGAUGGAGAAAUUUAGCACCCAGGGAGGCAGACAUAGGGAGGUGCUCCUGGUCUCAGUCUUGGUACUGCCAUGCCAAAACCUCAGAGAUUGUGGAAAACUGAUCCUAGAGAGCAGGGCUUCGAGGUUCCCUUUGGGAUCUUGGCUCUGGCUCCUGGAAGAUUAAGAAGUCCUUGGCAAGUUUUAGAAAGACCUACCAGUGCCACUGAUUCAUUAUCUGUGAGGACUGAAUGCUCUCUUUUCUCACUGCCCAGUGGCUUGUUAGAGAGCUUUUUCAGCAUGGAUGGCUCUCAAUGGUAGCUCUAACCUCUUCUCACUUACGUUCCAGUUUGGCCUUGUUGAUGAAGAUCUCAGCUUUCCCAGCUCUUCAGUUUUUAUUUUCCUUUAGGCCCUUUGUAGUUUAGCGAAUAUUCUAGUCCCUUGGUCAGCCCAUGUUUUGUGAGGUGAGCUGGCAGGCCUGAAACUAUAGGCAAGAUGGUUCUCAUUUGGGCUCAGGACAGGAUAUGGCUUCCCCUUAAAAAAGAGAAGCAGGGAACAGUUUCUAUGAAUCUUUUAAUAGAGGAUUUAUCACUAAUUUGAUAGUGCAACAUUCUUUUUACUCGGACGGAAUGCCUCACUUUUGUUGGUCAACCUGAGAGGCUUUUGGUCUCCGUGUUUUAACACAUGCUGGGGCUUGGGGCUGUCUCUGACAGACUGUGGAGGAUUAGAAACAUUCCAGAGACCAGGUCUUAGAGUGUUAUCUCUUCCCCCACCCCAAUUCCUCACCCUCCACUUUAUCUUUUUUUUUUUCUCUAACUACUAAUGCAGAGAUCUCUUAAGGAAGUGUGAAGGGAUGGGUUUUAAUCAGGUGUGGGGAAGAGAGAAAGGGAAAAAGGGGAACCCAAAGAAAGAUGGGGACAGUUGGAAUUUUUAGAUGACACUUCUCUGUUAACUUAUCAUGUGUUAUGUAUUACAUUCUACAAACUAUGCAUUUGUUACAGUAAUCUACAAUGUGUACCCGAGUUUGCCAAAUGCUGCUCGGCCAAAACAGUGUUAAAUAAAAUUGUAAGAAAUGCUACCAGGGCCUUGCAUGGGUUAUUUAAUUCUAUUAAUGAUAAACAAUGCUAAUGUGUAGCAUCUCAGCCUGCACGAUAUCAUGUUUCAUUUAUAUAUGCCGUGAUAUAUUUAAGCAUGAAAGAUACAGUUUUCUGACACAUAUUUUCCAAUGAUUACUUAGGAUAACUGUGAUGCAAACAGCAGAACCCUUUUCUCUCUUUGCAGAAAUCUGCACCCUGCUCUUGCACACACAGGCUCCUGGGCACACACAUUUAUACGUACAGCCAGCCACAUACGUAUUUUCACCUAUGUGCCUCUACUGGUCAAUGCAGAUUUGGCUUUCUGCACUUGUGCACAAUUACUGACACAUCUACUAGUACACACUUUGGGCACCACUUCAGAAUCUUUGACACCUUUAUACAUGUUUUCUCACACAUUUACACCUCUACUCCUGCAUAAAUUAGUGCUGACAUGAACACGUGUACCAUCCCACACGGGUAUUUAUACAUCCACUCUCACUGCCAAGUGCUGACGUGCCCAGCAGGAUGUGUGCCUGUACGCUGGAGGAUCCUCUGCAUAGGCUCACAUACGUAUGCGACGGUGUAUGGAUGUACAUUUGCACACACAUGCUCCCACAGCCCUGCUCUGGGGCGUACACUGGUACAGGCUCCAUGUGGCCAAGGAAAAACAGCUGCCCCGUCCCUCCCGGAGGCUCCGGGCCAGCUGACAGUUUUUGAUUUGGGAACAUUGUGUGUUUGCACUGUAUGAGCCCCGAAGCCUUCAAGAUGAGAGACCUGGAGGAUCGGGUUAAAGAUGCCAGCCUGCCUGACCUCUGACAAAAAUAAAAUGAAAAUAGGGGAGAGGGAUGGGUGGCUGGUCUCUGCAGACAGGAAUGCCUUCAAAAGAGAAUCAAUCUUUUAUUUGCUCAUUUAACAAACAUAUCAGAUAUCAUUUAACAAACAUAUCAGGAUACCAAACUGGCUUCUCUGGUCCUGGUUCUGCUGCGUGUUAGCUGAGUGAGCCCGAGCAACCUGCUCUCUCGGCCUCAGUGUCCCCAUCGGUAAAAUGACGUAUCGGCCUAGACAGGUAGUCCUCAACCUGGCUGCCCAGUAGAUUCCCUGGGGACACUUUUGGAAAAUACAGAUUCCAGGGCUGCACCCCAGAGUAAUUAAAUAAAAAUCUCUGGAGGUGGGUCCUGGGCGCCCGAUUUUUCAAAAACUCCCCAGGUUAUUCUCUUUGAACCAAAGUUGAGACCCUCUGGUUCAGAUGAACGCCAAAGCCCUUCUAGGCCUAAAAUUCCUCUGACAUGGAGGAUCUUCUGUACUCAGGCACUGUGUUGGGCACCGGGG
ensembl:lincRNA